rnacentral:rRNA from 1 species
ACGAACGCUGGCGGCGUGCCUCAUACAUGCAAGUUGAGCGAUGAAGAUUGGUGCUUGCCCCAAUUUGAAGAGCAGCGAACGGGUGAGUAACGCGUGGGGAAUCUGCCUUUGAGCGGGGGACAACAUCUGGAAACGAAUGCUAAUACCGCAUAACAACUUUAAACAUAAGUUUUAAGUUUGAAAGAUGCAAUUGCAUCACUCAAAGAUGAUCCCGCGUUGUAUUAGCUAGUUGGUGAGGUAAAGGCUCACCAAGGCGAUGAUACAUAGCCGACCUGAGAGGGUGAUCGGCCACAUUGGGACUGAGACACGGCCCAAACUCCUACGGGAGGCAGCAGUAGGGAAUCUUCGGCAAUGGACGAAAGUCUGACCGAGCAACGCCGCGUGAGUGAAGAAGGUUUUCGGAUCGUAAAACUCUGUUGGUAGAGAAGAACGUUGGUGAGAGUGGAAAGCUCAUCAAGUGACGGUAACUACCCAGAAAGGGACGGCUAACUACGUG